UGCUAGUCGCGCGGGUUCAGACCCGCGGCAAAUAGCUCAGUAACACGUGGCCAAACUGCCCUACAGAUCGGAAUAACCUCGGGAAACUGAGGCUAAUUCCGAAUAGGACUUUCAGGUUGGAGUGCCGAAAGUUCGAAACGCUACGGCGCUGUAGGAUGUGGCUGCGGCCGAUUAGGUAGACGGUGGGGUAACGGCCCACCGUGCCGAUAAUCGGUACAGGUUGUGAGAGCAAGAGCCUGGAGACGGAAUCUGAGACAAGAUUCCGGGCCCUACGGGGCGCAGCAGGCGCGAAACCUUUACACUGCACGACAGUGCGAUAGGGGAACUCCGAGUGCGAGGGCAUAGAGCCCUCGCUUUUCCACACCGUAAGGUGGUGCGGGAACAAGUGCUGGGCAAGACCGGUGCCAGCCGCCGCGGUAAUACCGGCAGCACAAGUGAUGGCCGAUUUUAUUGGGCCUAAAGCGUCCGUAGCUCGCCGAGCAAGUCCGUCGGGAAAUCCACUGGCUCAACCUCUGGGCUUCCGGCGGAAACUGUUCGGCUUGGGACCGGAAGACUCGAGGGGUACGUUCGGGGUAGGAGUGAAAUCCUGUAAUCCUGAACGGACCACCGAUGGCGAAAGCACCUCGAGAGCACGGAUCCGACAGUGAGGGACGAAAGCUAGGGUCUCGAACCGGAUUAGAUACCCGGGUAGUCCUAGCUGUUAACGAUGCCCGCUCGGUUCGGCGCAUGCUACGAGCCUGUGCCGCGCCUCAGUGAAGAC
rnacentral:rRNA from 1 species